rnacentral:rRNA from 1 species
UACGUAGGGUGCAAGCGUUAAUCGGAAUUACGGGGCGUAAAGGGCUCGUAGGCGGCCAACUAAGUCAGACGUGAAAUCCCUCGGCUUAACCGGGGAACUGCGUCUGAUACUGGAUGGCUUGAGUUUGGGAGAGGGAUGCGGAAUUCCAGGUGUAGCGGUGAAAUGCGUAGAUAUCUGGAGGAACACCGGUGGCGAAGGCGGCAUCCUGGACCAACACUGACGCUGAGUGAGCGAAAGCCAGGGGAGCAAACGGG